GAGGCAGCGAGGUCUGUGCAGUGCAGACACACCAGCGGAGACCAUCUGGCACUCCUGCUGGGGUGUCUGCACUCCACUGACCUCCCUGCCUC